rnacentral:rRNA from 1 species
GACGAACGCUGGCGGCGUGCUUAACACAUGCAAGUCGAACGAAAAGACCCUACUUUUGUGGUGUGCAUGAGUGGCGAACGGGUGAGUAACACGUGAGUAACCUGCCCUUGACUUUGGGAUAACUUCAGGAAACUGGAGCUAAUACCGGAUAGGCGCUCCUGCUGCAUGGUGGGGGUUGGAAAAUUGUGUCGGUUAGGGAUGGACUCGCGGCUUAUCAGCUUGUUGGUGGGGUAGUGGCUUACCAAGGCUUUGACGGGUAUCCGGCCUGAGAGGGUGACCGGCCACAUUGGGACUGAGAUACGGCCCAGCCGCCUACGGGAGGCAGCAGUGGGGAAUAUUGAACAAUGGGCGGAAGCCUGAUGCAGCAACGCCGCGUGAGGGAUGACGGCCUUCGGGUUGUAAACCGCUUUCGCCUGUGACGAAGCGAGAGUGACGGUAACGGUAAAAUAAGCACCAGCUAACUACGUG